UCUUCCUGCCUCUCUAGAUUAUGUCACUGGAGUUCCUAGAGGGGAGAAGGCUCUCGGUUAUGUCAACAUUUUUAGUGGGAAGAACAUGGAGUCCAUGUAUAAUUUCACAGGCACUCAGAUGGCGGCUUACUUCGGUCAUUCUGUAGCAGCUGUUGACAUCAAUAAUGACGGG